AGGGUGUAAACGCUGCAGACUUGGUGUUGGAAGCCCUUUGGGGGCAUUCAGUGCCGGAGAGAAGUUGUUAAGUCUGCUACUUGGGGAGUACGUCCGCAAGGAUGAAACUUAAAGGAAUUGGCGGGGGAGCACCGCAACGGGAGGAGCGUGCGGUUUAAUUGGAUUCAACACCGUAAACUCACCAGGGAAGACUGUUACAUGAAGGCCGAGAUGAAGACUCUGCUAGAUUUUCAGAGAGGAGGUGCAUGGCGUCAGUGACU
rnacentral:rRNA from 1 species